CCUACGGGUGGCUGCAGUGGGGAAUAUUGGACAAUGGGCGAAAGCCUGAUCCAGCCAUGCCGCGUGUGUGAAGAAGGCCUUCGGGUUGUAAAGCACUUUCAGUGGGGAAGAAAGCCUUGGGGCUAAUACCCUCGAGGAAGGACAUCACCCACAGAAGAAGCACCGGCUAACUCCGUGCCAGCAGCCGCGGUAAUACGGAGGGUGCGAGCGUUAAUCGGAAUUACUGGGCGUAAAGCGCGCGUAGGCGGUCUGAUAAGCCGGUUGUGAAAGCCCCGGGCUCAACCUGGGAACGGCAUCCGGAACUGUCAGGCUAGAGUGCAGGAGAGGAAGGUAGAAUUCCCGGUGUAGCGGUGAAAUGCGUAGAGAUCGGGAGGAAUACCAGUGGCGAAGGCGGCCUUCUGGACUGACACUGACGCUGAGGUGCGAAAGCAUGGGUAGCAAACAGGAUUAGAUACCCUAGUAGUC
rnacentral:rRNA from 1 species